UGGGGAAUAUUGCGCAAUGGGCGAAAGCCUGACGCAGCGACGCCGCGUGAGGGAUGAAGGUUUUCGGAUCGUAAACCUCUGUCAGAAGGGAAGAAACCGCACUGUGCUAAUCAGCAGUGCCUUGACGGUACCUUCAAAGGAAGCACCGGCUAACUCCGUGCCAGCAGCCGCGGUAAUACGGAGGUUGCAAGCGUUAAUCGGAAUUACUGGGCGUAAAGCGCACGUAGGCUGCUUUGUAAGUCAGGGGUGAAAUCCCACGGCUCAACCGUGGAACUGCCUUUGAUACUGCUUAGCUUGAAUCCGGGAGAGGGUGGCGGAAUUCCAGGUGUAGGAGUGAAAUCCGUAGAUAUCUGGAGGAACAUCAGUGGCGAAGGCGGCCACCUGGACCGGUAUUGACGCUGAGGUGCGAAAGCGUGGGGAGCAAACAGG
rnacentral:rRNA from 1 species